AGGACGAACGCUGGCGGCGUGCUUCACACAUGCAAGUCGAACGGGGCUCAUUCGGUGGUAACACCGGAGAAGGCCUAGUGGCGAACGGGUGCGUAACACGUGAAGAACCUGCCCCGAAGACUGGGAUAACAGCGGGAAACCGCUGCUAAUACCGGAUGACCCCACCAGGCCGCAUGGCCAGGUGAGGAAAUGGGCCUACCGCUUCGGGAGGGCUUCGCGGCCUAUCAGCUUGUUGGUGGGGUAACGGCCUACCAAGGCUACGACGGGUAGCUGGUCUGAGAGGACGACCAGCCACACUGGGACUGAGACACGGCCCAGACUCCUACGGGAGGCAGCAGUGGGGGAAUCUUGCGCAAUGGGCGAAAGCCUGACGCAGCAACGCCGCGUGAGGGAUGAAGGUCUUCGGGUUGUAAACCUCUUUCGAGCAGGGACGAUUGUGACGGUACCUGCAGAAGAAGCUCCGGCCAACUACGUGCCAGCAGCCGC
rnacentral:rRNA from 1 species